GAUCCCUACGGGAGGCAGCAGUGGGGAAUAUUGCACAAUGGGGGGAACCCUGAUGCAGCAAUGCCGCGUGGGUGAAGAAGCACUCCGGUGCGUAAAGCCCUGUCAGCAAGGAAGAAAAUGACAGUACCUGACCAAGAAGCCCCGGCUAACUACGUGCCAGCAGCCGCGGUAAUACGUAGGGGGCAAGCGUUAUCCGGAUUUACUGGGUGUAAAGGGAGCGUAGACGGAAUUGCAAGUCUGAUGUGAAAAUCCGGGGCCCAACCCCGGAACUGCAUUGGAAACUGUAUUUCUAGAGUGUCGGAGAG
rnacentral:rRNA from 1 species